AUUGAACGCUGGCGGCAGGCCUAACACAUGCAAGUCGAACGAGUGGCGGACGGGUGAGUAAUGUCUGGGAAACUGCCAGAUGGAGGGGGAUAACUACUGGAAACGGUAGAUAAUACCGCAUACCAUGGGAUGUGCCCAGAUGGGCUUGGCUAGUAGGUGGGGUAAGGGAUCACCUAGGCGACGAUCCCUAGCUGGUCUGAGAGGAUGACCAGCCACACUGUAACGGAGACACGGUCCAGACUCCUACGUGAGGCAGCAGUGGGGAAUAUUGCACAAUGGGCGCAAGCCUGAUGCAGCCAUGCAGCGUGUAUGAAGAAGUCCUUCGGGUUGUAAAGUACUUUCAGCGAGGAGGCGUUACUCGCAGAAGAAGCACCGGCUAACUCCGUGCCAGUAGCCGCGGUAAUAC
rnacentral:rRNA from 1 species